rnacentral:rRNA from 1 species
UACGUAGGGGGCUAGCGUUGCUCGGAAUUACUGGGCGUAAAGGGCGCGUAGGCGGAUGGCACAGUCAGAUGUGAAAUUCCUGGGCUUAACCUGGGGGCUGCAUUUGAUACGUGUGAUCUAGAGUGAGGAAGAGGGUCGUGGAAUUCCCAGUGUAGAGGUGAAAUUCGUAGAUAUUCGCAAGAACACCAGUGGCGAAGGCGGCGCACUGGCCCGAUACUGACGCUGAGGCACGAAAGCGUGGGGAGCAAACAGG